CUGGAGGUGACACUGGCCCCUCCCUGCAUCCACUGGACUCUCCCCCACCCCAGGCCUCCUGGCUCGGGCUCUGACUUUAGCUCUUGUGGGUCUCCCUGCUCAGCUGUCACCCUCCCACCGUCUCUGACUUGCACACAAGACUGGAAGGACCAAGCAAGCAGGCACCUGGAGCUUGGCAGAGAGGGGGGCGUGCAUCUCCAAUGAGAUGCUCCAGAAAUAGAGCUGGGAUGGGAGAGGAAGCAAACAGGCUCCUGGAGGAACCAGAGGGAGGACGGUGAGACAGAGGAGCAGAGAGGGGCCCAGGGCCUCUCUUCUUCCCACACGGAAGGCACAGAACCCAGAAGAAAGGUGCAAGCAGGAUACCAGCCCAGCAACUAACCACAGAUGAGGAAGCAGCCACAGAGAACCCUGGCGGGGCUUCUGGUCCCAGGGCCACACAUGGGGCUGUACACGCCAGCAGGCCAUGUUUCCUUCCAGGCCCACAAGGUGCUCCAACUUCCUGCAAGACCGUGAACGCCAACAGCAUGACACGUGGGCAGCGUUUCUGCUGACUUCUAAUGUAGCUUUCAGGACCAAAGACGGAAGAGAUUCUGCCUUGUCUGGGAGAACACAGCCUGGGCCACUAACAGCAGCUGACCGUCCACCUGGUUUGCCUAAUCUUGCCAGCAAAGGAGCCUGGUCCCAAGGACGAGACACUCCUUUCGCAAGCCUGUUCUUCCCAGGGAGCUGGUGAAGCUUCUCUUGGAAGAUCAACCACUUUGGAGCCACUGACUUCAGAGACGGCCUCCCUGCUACAAUCUAGGAAAGAGUAUCAGAGGUCUGCCUGUGUUCUGAGGAUUUGAAAAGAGAAGUUGCCUGACCCCCUAUGGGUCCCCAGGGAUGGAAAGGAAGUCGUGGUGGAAGCUAGAACUUGUCCCAUCUGGCCUCCCUGGGCAGACUAACACAUGGGAAGCAGCUCUGCCUGGGACCUGAAGGCAUCAGGAGCUCCCCAUCUCAUCCUUCAUUCAAAAGGCUGAAGGUGUCAGGAGCUCAGCAUGGAGGGAUGGACGUUCUCCUCUACAAGAAUAGCAGCAGCCUGGGCAGGGUGUUGGUCAGUGCAUUCCCAUGCCACCUCUGUGUCCCAGGGGCAUCUGCUGGCCUGUGAAGUGAGAAGUCCUUCCGGUUAAGGAGACCCAAGUCCUCUGCCAACUUGGGUGUACCAGCACCAAGCACUGCUCCCUCUUUGACUCUGUAAAGGAGAGCUUCGAGGAGCUGGUAGGACUUCCUGCUGGUAGGCACAUGGGCACUGGAACUGAAGAAAGAAGCAAAAGUGCCAGAUGAUGUGCCCUCAAGAUUGUGGAGCAGGUGCUACCACUUUCAUAACUACUGGUCAACCAGCAAAGAUGUGGUUAGUAUUUGAACAGCAGUGGCUGCCAACAGUUUGGAGAGACCUACCUUGUGAGGUCUCUCCGGGUCUUAUGAGGCAGUUGAAGAUGGCAAGCCCAUAGCAUGGGUCUCUAUUGUCUAUACCUUUAGGUGGUGAAAACCUGCUUACCAGCCUAGUCCCACAGUGAGACUGCAGGCCCUUGACGCAGAGGUUUGAACCCCUCCUGGUUCACUGCUUGGCACAAUUCAGGUGUCCAUAAAGUUGCUUUAUUGGUGCCAGUCUCCUUUUCUCCUAGAUAGAGGAGUUUAUAGUAGCCCAGAAUUGAUCUCUCAUAGCCGAAAAAUCAGACACGCAAUGCUUUACUCUUGGGAACCUGUUUUGAAGUAGGUAGUGUUUUAUUUUUCAAAUUCUUCUCUUUUAACUCUCUUAUACUUGGUGAUUUAGAUACCUCAUAGACACUGAAAAUUAGAGUGAAGAUACUUCAUUGACCUUUUUAUUCAUGGGUGUAGAGGUUAUAAGUACUCCAUGUUCUCACAGUGACUUUCAAAAAAAUACCAGAAAGAAUACCAUUUAUCAAAGUCCACCAGGUUUGCUAUUGAUAAACUCAGCAAAUUUACAAAUCACAGCAAAACUGUCAUGUUAAUACCACAGUGGUCCCUGCUUCCAAAGACCACACACACACACAUGUAUUUCAUGACACCUAAAUCUAAAUCAGUGAAGGCUGAUCUCUUUGAGAGAGACAGAAAGUAAUGGGAUUUGGAAAGGCAGAAACUCAGCUUACCUGUGUUGGGACUUGGGGACUUGUCACCUGGCUGGGAAGAUGUGACCCUACCUCAGUGCCCUUCUUUCCUGGAGCUCAGUAGGAAGAAUGUGAGUGAGCAGUCACACCUGGAACCUUAUACCUGCAAACCCCAUGAUCAUUAUCUCAGGGCAGCAAGAGGGUCACCUGCAUGAUCCAAAGCACACCUGGCCAGAUCUCAAUGGACUUCUCUGUACCACUGUCCAAGUCUCACUCAGCUUUCUGCUGCUGUGUUUGCCUUCAGGCCAAAGGUCACCUUAGGCUGCUUCCUCCCUCUGACUGCCUGCUGGCUCCAAACACAAAUGGAUUAUUUUAUCAACUGUCUGGCAACUCUUUAUCUACUCACACAAACUCAAAAAGGCUUUGUUUCUUCCACCUUUUGCUUAGAAGCAUCUGAAGUUCUUAAGUAAACUGGAGAUUUUUUUUUUUUGGCUUCCUAUUUAAUGUCAACCUUUGGGCUGUAUGGACAGACACAGCCUCACCAGCCAUGAACCAGCAAACCCUACUCCAAGUAUACACACGAAAGAAUUGAAAGCAGGGUCUCAAAAAGACCUGUACACCAAUGUCACAGCAGCUUUAUUCACAGUAGCUAAAACAUGGAAGCAAACCAAGUAUCCACUGAUAGAGGAAUGGAUAAGCAGACUCUGGUGUGUACUGGAAUAUAAUUCAGCCAUAAAAAGGAAGGAAAUUCUGCCAUCUGCUACAGCAUGGAUGAACCUUGAGGACACUGCGCUAAGUGAAAUAAGCCAGUCACAAAAAGACAAAUACUGUAUGAUUCCACUUCUAGGAGGUACUCACAGGGUAGACAAAUUUCUAGAGACAGAAAGUUGAAUGGUGAUUGCCAGAGCCAGUGGGAAGUGGGGGGUGGAGAGUUAGGGUUUAAUGGGUAUAGAGCUUCAGUUUUACAAGAUGAAAAGAAUUACAGAGAUACAUAGUGGUCGUGGCUGCAAAAUGUUAUGAAUGUACUUAAUACUACUGAAUGGUACACUUAAAAUGGUUAAAAAUGAUAAAUUUUGUUAUGUGUAGUUUACCACAAUAAACUUUUUUGAAAAAAAAGAGAUGAUUUAGAUAGCCUUUUCACAUUUGGGGGUAACUGUAAUAAAAUUUCUUUUUCAACAAAACUAUAAAAAUGCACAUCAAAAAACAACAAUAAGAAAUACCAGGCAUUGACCACCACCUCAUAUUAAGCACUCAGCAAAGCCUCCCGGACUCUGGGGAGCUAGGCUGGCUACUGAGAAUCCCCUUGGACCUGUUAGAAUUCAGAUUCCAGGUUUCAUCUGCUGGGAUUCCACUUCAAUGGAAUGUGGCAACAGCAAUCUGUCUUUUUAAGGUUUUCCUGAAGAGAAUUCUGAUUUGCAAUCAGUACUUUAUCUAGAUGAUUCCAGAAGUAGAAUGAUAGUUUAGUAAUUUCCUUAAUUAUUCUUUCAAGUUAAUCAGCAAACAUGUGUCAAGCAGGUAGGACACAAAGGCAGUGGCCAGUGCUAGGAAAACAGAGGGCAAAUAAUAAUAUAAGCUACUUAUUGAGCGCUCACUAGGCACAGAAGUGAAAUAACUUUUAAAGAUCCUCACAGCUAGUAAAUCUGACUCCAGAGCCUGCACUGUUUACCCCUAGAAGACAGUUCCUACCUUCAGCAAGCCUUGUGAGGUAGAGGUGUCAUUGAACUUACCAUAAUUAGAGGCAGAAUGAAACAAGUCUUAAAUUGAGAUGUGAAGACAAGUCCUAGGGUAGGAGCCAUAUCUGGGACCAGAGUUUGGACUCCAGAGAUUUUUUUUACCAGUGAAAAGACUGUGAAAUAUCCCAGCCUAUUCUGGAAUGGAGUCGCAGAGAAUCAGCCCCUCUGACCACGAGACAGAUCCACAGAGUUUUUUCUAACGGGUCUUUCUUUAAGACAUGGUCCCAAACUACAGCCCAGGGACCAAGGGAGAAAGCUAGCUAUUUCCACUUUUCAGUUUCUAAAACCUCUGGAUUUUGUGAUGUGCUCAGGGUGGGAGUUGUAUCAGACAGGGAAGUGGUCAGAGGAAAAACUGCAGAUUCUGGGUUUUCUUUCCACGUGGUGCCUGCAACCGACUCACCCAGAGGCUGUGAUUCAGGGUCAGAGACAGCUCUCUGUCAAGGUGGGACCUAACAGCAGGAAGAUGACCCUGCUGGAGGUGCCUAAGCAGAUAUUAUUUAGUCUGAAUUAAGGCUUCAGAGGUUGAAGAUCAUUCCUAACUCAGAAGAAGUUCUUCUAUGUUGGCAGAGACACGGUAUUAACCCCGCAGUGACUGCGUGUCUUCAAAGAGCCACAAAGGCUCUGUGGCUCCAAAGAAACAAACUGGUUAAAAAAAAAAAGAGGCAGUGUAAGAGUCUAUUUUGAGGAGGUGUGAAAUGCUCUAUGGGGGCUUCUUUUUUCUCUCUCUCUCUUUUUUUUGUUCUAAUCCUAAAGAUUAGCUAUUAGAGAACUGCUCCAACCUAAACAUUUAUUUUGGCUUUCAUUAAUAUUUAGAAUUUAUGAUACUAGUAUAUUUUAUUGUAUCCUCUUUCUCUUUCCCUUUCAAUUUUUUUUUGGCUGCGCUAGGCCUUCGUUGCUUGACGCAGGCUUUCCCCAGUUGUGUCAAUCGGGGGCUACUCUCUGUUGCAGUGCUUGAGCUCCUCUUGUAGCAGAACACAGGCUCUAGGUACGUGGGCUUCAGUAGUUACAGCAUACAGGUUCAGUAGUUGUGGUGCCCGGGCUUAGCUGCUCCUCAGCAUGUGGAAUCUUCGCUGACCAGGGAUCGAACCUCUGUCCACCGCAUUGGGAGGUGGAUUCCCCACCACUGUGCCACCAGGGAAGUCCUGCCUUAAGUUUUAAGUUCCCUACCUUAACAAGGCUAAAUGCUAAAUGUGUACAAUUAACUUGAAGCAAAGAGAGACUUGAGAUUUGAAAAUAGAAAUUCUGAUUGUAAAUGUCUUUUUUCCCAUUACUUUGGCGGCUAUUUCCAUGUACAUGUAAGCACAAUGCCUAAGUUAUAUUUCUUUCCAGAUAAGGAACAUGGAUGAAAUACAACUGCCCAAAUC